rnacentral:sRNA from 1 species
UGAUUAGAGUAACAACUCAACAACGUCC